ACGUACAAGCAGUGGGAGCACAGGUUUACCUGUGUGACUGCGUACCUUUUGUAUAAUGGGUCAGCGACUUAUAUUCUGUAGCAAGGUUAACCGAAUAGGGGAGCCGGAGGGAAACCGAGUCUUAAUUGGGCGUUAAGUUGCAGGGUAUAGACCCGAAACCCGGUGAUCUAGCCAUGGGCAGGUUGAAGGUUGGGUAACACUAACUGGAGGACCGAACCGACUAAUGUUGAAAAA
rnacentral:rRNA from 1 species